rnacentral:rRNA from 1 species
UACGAAGGGGACUAGCGUUGUUCGGAAUCACUGGGCGUAAAGCGCACGUAGGCGGAUAUGUCAGUCAGGGGUGAAAUCCCGGGGCUCAACCUCGGAACUGCCUUUGAUACAGCAUGUCUUGAGUCCGAUAGAGGUGGGUGGAAUUCCUAGUGUAGAGGUAAAAUUCGUAGAUAUUAGGAAGAACACCGGUGGCGAAGGCGGCCCACUGGAUCGGUACUGACGCUGAGGUGCGAAAGCGUGGGUAGCAAACAGG